rnacentral:rRNA from 1 species
CUACAGGCUUAACACAUGCAAGUCGAGGGGCAGCAUGGUCUUAGCUUGCUAAGGCCGAUGGCGACCGGCGCACGGGUGAGUAACACGUAUCCAACCUGCCGUCUACUCUUGGACAGCCUUCUGAAAGGAAGAUUAAUACAAGAUGGCGUCAUGAGUUCACAUGUUCACAUGAUUAAAGGUAUUCCGGUAGACGAUGGGGAUGCGUUCCAUUAGAUAGUAGGCGGGGUAACGGCCCACCUAGUCUUCGAUGGAUAGGGGUUCUGAGAGGAAGGUCCCCCACAUUGGAACUGAGACACGGUCCAAACUCCUACGGGAGGCAGCAGUGAGGAAUAUUGGUCAAUGGGCGCAGGCCUGAACCAGCCAAGUAGCGUGAAGGAUGACUGCCCUAUGGGUUGUAAACUUCUUUUAUAAAGGAAUAAAGUCGGGUAUGGAUACCCGUUUGCAUGUACUUUAUGAAUAAGGAUCGGCUAACUCCGUGCCAGCAGCCGCGGUAAUACGGAGGAUCCGAGCGUUAUCCGGAUUUAUUGGGUUUAAAGGGAGCGUAGAUGGAUGUUUAAGUCAGUUGUGAAAGUUUGCGGCUCAACCGUAAAAUUGCAGUUGAUACUGGAUAUCUUGAGUGCAGUUGAGGCAGGCGGAAUUCGUGGUGUAGCGGUGAAAUGCUUAGAUAUCACGAAGAACUCCGAUUGCGAAGGCAGCCUGCUAAGCUGCAACUGACAUUGAGGCUCGAAAGUGUGGGUAUCAAACAGGAUUAGAUACCCUGGUAGUCCACACGGUAAACGAUGAAUACUCGCUGUUUGCGAUAUACGGCAAGCGGCCAAGCGAAAGCGUUAAGUAUUCCACCUGGGGAGUACGCCGGCAACGGUGAAACUCAAAGGAAUUGACGGGGGCCCGCACAAGCGGAGGAACAUGUGGUUUAAUUCGAUGAUACGCGAGGAACCUUACCCGGGCUUAAAUUGCAGAUGAAUUACGGUGAAAGCCGUAAGCCGCAAGGCAUCUGUGAAGGUGCUGCAUGGUUGUCGUCAGCUCGUGCCGUGAGGUGUCGGCUUAAGUGCCAUAACGAGCGCAACCCUUGUUGUCAGUUACUAACAGGUUCCGCUGAGGACUCUGACAAGACUGCCAUCGUAAGAUGUGAGGAAGGUGGGGAUGACGUCAAAUCAGCACGGCCCUUACGUCCGGGGCUACACACGUGUUACAAUGGGGGGUACAGAGGGCCGCUACCACGCGAGUGGAUGCCAAUCCCAAAAACCUCUCUCAGUUCGGACUGGAGUCUGCAACCCGACUCCACGAAGCUGGAUUCGCUAGUAAUCGCGCAUCAGCCACGGCGCGGUGAAUACGUUCCCGGGCCUUGUACACACCGCCCGUCAAGCCAUGGGAGCCGGGGGUACCUGAAGUGCGUAACCGCGAGGAGCGCCCUAGGGUAAAACUGGUGACUGGGG